UACGGGGGGGGCAAGCGUUGUUCGGAAUUACUGGGCGUAAAGGGCUCGUAGGUGGUCAACUAAGUCGGACGUGAAAUCCCUCGGCUUAACCGGGGAACUGCGUCCGAUACUGGAUGACUUGAGUUCGGGAGAGGGAUGCGGAAUUCCAGGUGUAGCGGUGAAAUGCGUAGAUAUCAGGAAGAACACCCGUGGCGAAAGCGGCUCUCUGGAACGGUACUGACGCUGAGACGCGAAAGCGUGGGGAGCGAACAGG
rnacentral:rRNA from 1 species